rnacentral:tRNA from 1 species
GCCAUGGCUCAGUGGUAAGGCAUCUGCCUCACAUGAAAAAGGUCCCAGGUUCAAGACUUAGCAUCUGCU